rnacentral:rRNA from 1 species
GACAGAGGGUGCUAGCGUUGUUCGGAAUUACUGGGCGUAAAGGGUUUGUAGGUGGCUUGCUAAGUCAGACGUGAAAUCCCUCAGCUUAACUGGGGAACUGCGUCUGAGACUGGCAAGCUUGAGUGCAGGAGAGGAACGCGGAAUUCCAGGUGUAGCGGUGAAAUGCGUAGAUAUCUGGAGGAACACCGGUGGCGAAGGCGGCGUUCUGGACUGUAACUGACACUGAUGAACGAAAGCCAGGGGAGCAAACGGG